rnacentral:rRNA from 1 species
AGUGAACGCUGGCGGUAGGCCUAACACAUGCAAGUCGAACGGCAGCACAGUAAGAGCUUGCUCUUACGGGUGGCGAGUGGCGGACGGGUGAGGAAUACAUCGGAAUCUACUUUUUCGUGGGGGAUAACGUAGGGAAACUUACGCUAAUACCGCAUACGACCUACGGGUGAAAGCAGGGGAUCUUCGGACCUUGCGCGAUUGAAUGAGCCGAUGUCGGAUUAGCUAGUUGGCGGGGUAAAGGCCCACCAAGGCGACGAUCCGUAGCUGGUCUGAGAGGAUGAUCAGCCACAUUGGAACUGGGACAUGGUCCAGACUCCUACGGGAGGCAGCAGUGGGGAAUAUUGGACAAUGGGCGCAAGCCUGAUCCAGCCAUACCGCGUGGGUGAAGAAGGCCUUCGGGUUGUAAAGCCCUUUUGUUGGGAAAGAAAAGCAGCAGGUUAAUACCCCGCUGUUCUGACGGUACCCAAAGAAUAAGCACCGGCUAACUUCGUG